rnacentral:rRNA from 1 species
CUACGGGUUGCUGCAGUGAGGAAUUUCGCGCAAUGGGGGAAACCCUGACGCAGCAACGCCGCGUGAGCGAAGAAGGCCCUCGGGUCGUAAAGCUCUGUCAAGUGGGAAAAAAAUUUUUUGAUCAAUAGUCAAAAGACUUGAUGGUACCACUGGAGGAAGCACCGGCUAACUCCGUGCCAGCAGCCGCGGUAAUACGGAGGGUGCGAGCGUGUUCGGAUUUACUGGGCGUAAAGAGCGUGUAGGCGGUUUAGCAAGUCAGAUGUGAAAGCCCUGGGCUCAACCCGGGAAGUGCAUUUGAAACUGCUUCACUAGAGUAUGGGAGAGGAGAUUGGAAUUCCUGGUGUAGAGGUGAAAUUCGUAGAUAUCAGGAGGAACACCCGUGGCGAAGGCGAUUCUCUGGACCAAUACUGACGCUGAGACGCGAAAGCGUGGGGAGCAAACAGGAUUAGAUACCCCCGUAGUC